ACCUACGGGGGGCAGCAGUGGGGAAUAUUGCACAAUGGGGGAAACCCUGAUGCAGCGACGCCGCGUGAGUGAAGAAGUAUUUCGGUACGUAAAGCUCUAUCAGCAGGGAAGAAAAUGACGGUACCUGACUAAGAAGCCCCGGCUAACUACGUGCCAGCAGCCGCGGUAAUACGUAGGGGGCAAGCGUUAUCCGGAUUUACUGGGUGUAAAGGGAGCGCAGACGGCUGUGCAAGUCUGGAGUGAAAGGCGGGGGCCCAACCCCCGGACUGCUCUGGAAACUGUAAAGCUGGAGUGCAGGAGAGGUA
rnacentral:rRNA from 1 species